rnacentral:rRNA from 1 species
GACGAACGCUGGCGGCGUGCUUAACACAUGCAAGUCGAACGGAAAGGCCCUGCUUUUGUGGGGUGCUCGAGUGGCGAACGGGUGAGUAACACGUGAGUAACCUGCCCUUGACUUUGGGAUAACUUCAGGAAACUGGGGCUAAUACCGGAUAGGAGCUCCUGCUGCAUGGUGGGGGUUGGAAAGUUUCGGCGGUUGGGGAUGGACUCGCGGCUUAUCAGCUUGUUGGUGGGGUAGUGGCUUACCAAGGCUUUGACGGGUAGCCGGCCUGAGAGGGUGACCGGCCACAUUGGGACUGAGAUACGGCCCAGACUCCUACGGGAGGCAGCAGUGGGGAAUAUUGCACAAUGGGCGGAAGCCGGAUGCAGCAACGCCGCGUGCGGGAGGACGGCCUUCGGGUGGCAAACCGCUUUCGCCUGUGACGAAGCGUGAGGGACGGUAAUGGGUAAAGAAGCACCGGCUAACUACGU